rnacentral:lncRNA from 1 species
UUCUUCUAUAGUACAAUUUGUUAAACGAUACAUUCUCGUCUCAAAAGUAUUAAAUAUCAUAUCUGAACGAUCGCGGUCAAUAUCUUUUAACCGCCGACAUAUUGCAGACUAUUCCCAUCCCUAACUAACUAUCCAUCCCAAUGAAAAAUUAGUGAUAUCAAUAAUUAUCCAUUUUAACUAUACGAAAGAAAUCUUUCAAAAUUAAUAUAAAAUAUUUAGUCAAAAUAAUACAAAAAUAUAGAGGAAGGAAAAAAGGGACCACCCAAGAUGCUCAUAAGCACGCAAGGAAGGUUUCUAUUGCUUGAAGUACCUCCAACAGUAAUAAGAGAGGGCGGUGGCCCACCCUCUAACUGCCACUCCCUUUACCCCCAACUUCUACUUCUCUUGCUCCCUCCACUAACCCACUACAGUCACCACAGCGCCCUGCAUAACCACUCAAUCCCUGCUGCUGCUACCGUCG